AGAGUUUGAUUCUGGCUCAGAACGAACGCUGGCAGCGUGGAUUAGGCAUGCAAGUCGAACGGGAACCUGUGGAUUCAAGUUUUCGGACAAGAAUCCGUGGGGGAGAGUGGCGAAAGGGUGAGUAACGCGUGGGCAAUCUGCCCUCAAGUUCGGGACAACUCAGCGAAAGCUGGGCUAAUACCGGAUGUGGUUAUCCGUUGCAUGACGGGUGGACUAAAGUUGGGGACCCUUCGGGGCCUAACGCUUGGGGAGGAGCCCGCGUCCCAUCAGCUUGUUGGUGAGGUAACGGCUCACCAAGGCAUACGGGUAGCUGGUCUGAGAGGAUGGUCAGCCACACUGGGACUGAGACACUGCCCAGACUCCUACGGGAGGCUGCAGUCGAGGAUCAUUGGCAAUGCGCGAAAGCGUGACCAUGCGACGCUGCGUGGAGGAUGACGGCCUUCGGGUCGUAAACUCCUGUCAUUCGGGAAAAAUCGUCCGGUUCCCAAUACGGGCCGGGCUUGAUGGUACCGGAAGAGGAAGCCACGGCUAACUCUGUGCCAGCAGCCGCGGUAAUACAGAGGUGGCGAGCGUUGUUCGGAUUUACUGGGCGUAAAGAGUGCGUAGGUGGUUCCGUGUGUCGAAUGUGAAAGCCCACUGCCUAACAGUGGAAUUGCAUUCGAAACUGCGGUGCUAGAGUACAGGAGGGGAGAGCGGAAUUCUUGGUGUAGCGGUGGAAUGCGUUGAGAUCAAGAAGAACACCGGUGGCGAAGGCGGCUCUCUGGAAUGGUACUGACACUGAGGCACGAAAGCUGGGGGAGCGAACAGGAUUAGAUACCCUGGUAGUCCCAGCUGUAAACGGUGCGCACUUGGUGUGGGAGGUAUUGACCCCUUCCGUGCCGGAGCUAACGCGUUAAGUGCGCCGCCUGGGGAGUACGGCCGCAAGGCUAAAACUCAAAGAAAUUGACGGGGGCCCGCACAAGCGGAGGAGCAUGUGGCUUAAUUCGAUGCAACGCGAAGAACCUUACCAGGGCUUGACAUGCAGCUGCAAGCCCGGUGAAAGCCGGGCCGCCUUCGAGGGCGCUGCACAGGUGCUGCAUGGCUGUCGUCAGUUCGUGCCGUGAGGUGUUGGGUUAAGUCCCGCAUCGAACGCAACCCUUGUGUCUAUUUGCCACUCCUGUUCUGCAGGAAGCACUCUAGACAGACUGCCCGUACAAGCGGGAGGAAGGUGGGGAUGACGUCAAGUCAGUAUGGCCCUUACGCCCUGGGCUGCACAC
rnacentral:rRNA from 1 species